rnacentral:lncRNA from 1 species
CUAAAUAGAUGUAAAAAAUACUUUCUUGAAUGGUGAGCUUAUAGAAGAAGUAUAUAUGGAUCUUCCCCAAGGCUCAAUUGUUGGCUUAGGUUCUUAGUUUCUUUCUUGUGUUAACUUUUAUAGGAUUCUCUUUAGGUGAAAGAUUUUGAGGAUUCUCGAAGUCUUUGCUCUUAGAAAGGCAUAGUUCCUUUUACCCUUCGACUUUAACAAGUCUCUAGCUUUUUAUCUUUUUCAUUAAUUGUUGGCUCUUGUAUUCACCGAUAUUUAUGCAUAUCUAUUGUAGUCACCGGUAUUUAUGCAUAUCUGUUAUGGUCAUAGGUUUCACAAUAGCAUUCUUCAGCCCAAGUAUAAGAUGACAAGUAUUGGUAGCACCAUGCUGAAUAUGUCAUUUAUAAAGUCACAUUCGAUCCAAAGAAUAUGUGUGAACAUUGUAGAAACAAUUAUGGUACAGGCUUAAAUCAUUAUAUGCAAAAUGACAAAUUGAAGCAAGACAUUGUUGGGUUACUAAAAUACUUACGUCCAUCCAAGCUAUUGUGUAUUGUCAUGGAAGUGGUUGCACUGAAAUAGGGUUUUUGCAAUAAUCCUCGUGUAUGACAAACUUUCUAUUUUUAUUUCCACAAACAAACUAGGGCUUGAGACUACUUACCAUCUUCCUCCGCUUUACAUGUUCACUCGUGCUUAACUACAACUAGAAAGAAUUAUCAAGUCUGCUGUCUAGGAAUAAUCGCUCAUUCUUCAAUUCUGGACAUAUUUAAAAAUUUUCAAUCAGAGUGUGAAUUAUACCUGGUUGUGAAAAUAAACAGAUAAUAGCAAAAUUAUUUGGAAACCAGUUUGAACCACUGAAAACCAAUCUGGAAGAGCUUGAAACAGUUUGGGUAAACCAAUUUAAAUGCAAAAAUGUGGCUGGAACUGGUUAAGUAGUGUUGUUUUGACAAAUCUCACUCUUGGCUGCACACAAGAGACUCACUGAUUUCGAACAAGGAGAACUUGAGCAGAAACAUUUGAGAAAAUUUAGUGAGGGCUGAGACUAGAGAUCUAAGAAGUCAAUAAACAAAUCAAUAACUUUGUGUUUGAAUGAUAAUCAUAUGAAAUAUCUAUUAAACAAUCAAGUUAGGGUAUCUUAUUUGCAGGCUCCAAAAUACAAUUGAAAUAUAAAUCUGCAUAUGUAGUAAUUCUACUAAAUAAAAACUAGUUAAUUAAUUAAAUAUGGUAUAAUAUAGAAUAAUUAAAUAACAUCCUAACUAAGUAUGAAAUAAUAAACUCAUACUAACAAUAUGAAGAGGAGCAAAGCUGGAUACCAAAAUUGGAUGGGCUGCAUUUCAAGGUCCUAGAUGAUUUUAGCAGGGUUGAGUUGGAGAGGCUGUUCUUGGAAGAGGAGAUUUAUUGAGUGUCUAAUGCUAUGUAAAGGAGACAAAGCUCCUAG